GACCCCGGGCCGAAAAUGUACCGGGGCUAAACAUAUUACCGAAACUGUGGAUGAACCUCUUUAGAGGUUCGUGGUAGGAGAGCGUUCUAAGGGCGGAGAAGUCAGACCGGAAGGACUGGUGGAGCGCGUAGAAGUGAGAAUGCCGGUAUGAGUAGCGAAAGAAGGGUGAGAAUCCCUUCCACCGAAUAUCUAAGGUUUCCUGAGGAAGGCUCGUCCGCUCAGGGUUAGUCGGGACCUAAGCCGAGGCCGAUAGGC
rnacentral:rRNA from 1 species